rnacentral:rRNA from 1 species
UACGUAGGCAGCGAGCGUUGUUCGGAAUUACUGGGCGUAAAGAGUGUGUAGGCGGUGCUCUAAGUUCGGUGUGAAAUCUCCCGGCUUAACUGGGAGGGUGCGCCGGAAACUGGAGUGCUCGAACGUGGGAGAGGAAAGCGGAAUUCCUGGUGUAGCGGUGAAAUGCGCAGAUAUCAGGAGGAACACCGGUGGCGAAGGCGGGUCUCUGGACCGAUAUUGACGCUGGAGGAGCGAAAGCGUGGGGAGCGAACAGG